rnacentral:rRNA from 1 species
CCCUUAGAUGUUCUGGGCCGCACGCGUGCUACACUGACCGGCGCAACAAGUUUCUUUCCUUGGCUCGAUAGGCCUGGGUAAUCUUUGAACGCCGGUCGUGAUGGGGAUAGAUCCUUGCAAUUUUUGAUCUUCAACGAGGAAUUCCUAGUAAAUGCGAGUCAUCAUCUCGCGUUGAUUACGUCCCUGCCCUUUGUACACACCGCCCGUCGCACCUACCGAUUGAAUGGUCCGGUGAAGCCUCGGGAUUGCGAAUGCUUCGUGCGGACGCGAGAACUUGGCUAAACCUUACCAUUUAGAGGAAGGUGAAGUCGUAACG